UUAUUGCAAAUAUGCAGUGAAUUUAUAAGCUCGCGUCAUUGUUGAGGCAAUGCUCGACCUGGGCUGUUAGUUCAGAUAACUUUACUUUAGUUUAAGUUUGAGUACAUAUUGUAAUUUAUUGUUGUUUAAAACUACUAAGUUUAAUGUUUGCCAGUUAACUGCUCAGUGCUGAUUAAAUACCUGACCUGCCUUACUUGGA